CAGCCGCCACGGGAAUACGUAGGUGGCAAGCGUUGUCCGGAUUUACUGGGCGUAAAGGGCGCGUAGGCGGCGCGGUAAGUCACUUGUGAAAUCUCUGAGCUUAACUCAGAACGGCCAAGUGAUACUGCUGUGCUAGAGUGCGGAAGAGGCAACCGGAAUUCUUGGUGUAGCGGUGAAAUGCGUAGAUAUCAAGAGGAACACCUGAGGCGAAGGCGGGUUGCUGGGCCGACACUGACGCUGAUGCGCGAAAGCCAGGGGAGCAAACGGGAUUAGAGACCCCGGUAGUCCCUGUCUCUUAUAC
rnacentral:rRNA from 1 species